UACGUAGGGUGCAAGCGUUGUCCGGAAUUAUUGGGCGUAAAGAGCUCGUAGGCGGUUUGUCGCGUCGAAUGUGAAAACCCGGGGCUUAACCCCGGGUCUGCAGUCGAUACGGGCAGGCUAGAGUUCGGUAGGGGAGAUCGGAAUUCCUGGUGUAGCGGUGAAAUGCGCAGAUAUCAGGAGGAACACCGGUGGCGAAGGCGGAUCUCUGGGCCGAUACUGACGCUGAGGAGCGAAAGCGUGGGGAGCGAACAGG
rnacentral:rRNA from 1 species